CCCUUUUCUUUCUUUCGCACAAUCACAAAACAGCAAGCGAGGUGCAGAGAAACCUGAUCGGGACUCCACCCUCCAAAUGAUACACUGCCAGCCGCUACUACAAUAACACACUGUGUGUUUGUCGCUGGAUCUGUCACGUGAUGUGCCCCUCAGACAGGCUGCAGCUGCAUUCAGUGAGGGAAGUGUUUUUGUUUACUUCAACCAGGCUGGAGAUGAAGAAGCGAGACACUUGUGUGGUUCAGAUGGACCACAAACUGGAGAGUGUCCUGAAGAUCCUGAUGGAACAGUUCCAACUCGAACCAGAGCUGCUUCAGAAACCAAGCCACUGCAGCUCCCGCUUAAUGAAACGCCAGAGUGGCAGCAUGAAGAAAGGACAAUGAGAGCAACAGAAAGCAG
ensembl:lncRNA